rnacentral:rRNA from 1 species
GAUGAACGCUGGCGGCGUGCCUAAUACAUGCAAGUCGAGCGAACAGACGAGGAGCUUGCUCCUCUGACGUUAGCGGCGGACGGGUGAGUAACACGUGGAUAACCUACCUAUAAGACUGGGAUAACUUCGGGAAACCGGAGCUAAUACCGGAUAAUAUAUUGAACCGCAUGGUUCAACAGUGAAAGACGGUUUUGCUGUCACUUAUAGAUGGAUCCGCGCCGCAUUAGCUAGUUGGUAAGGUAACGGCUUACCAAGGCAACGAUGCGUAGCCGACCUGAGAGGGUGAUCGGCCACACUGGAACUGAGACACGGUCCAGACUCCUACGGGAGGCAGCAGUGGGGAAUCUUGCACAAUGGGCGAAAGCCUGACGGAGCAACGCCGCGUGAGUGAUGAAGGUCUUCGGAUCGUAAAACUCUGUUAUUAGGGAGGAACAAUUGUGUAAGUAACUAUGCACGUCUUGACGGUACCUAAUCAGAAAGCCACGGCUAACUCCGUG